rnacentral:rRNA from 1 species
UACGUAGGGGGCAAGCGUUGUCCGGAUUUAUUGGGCGUAAAGAGCUCGUAGGUGGUUCGGUAAGUCGGAUGUGAAAUCUCCAGGCUCAACCGUGGGAGGGGUCAUUCGAUACUGCCGUGACUAGAGUUCGGUAGGGGAGUGUGGAAUUCCUGGUGGAGCGGCGAAAUGCGCAGAUAUCAGGAGGAACACCCCGUAGCGAAGGCGGCACUCUGGGCCGAUACUGACACUGAGGAGCGGAAAGCGUGGGGAGCGAACAGG